rfam:Picea glauca, whole genome shotgun sequence.
GAGAGCACAGUACGAUGAAAGUUGUGAGUUGUGUUUGGGGGGGGAUUUAUUGUCUAUCAUUGGCCUCUAUGGUAGAAUCAGUCGGGGAGGCCUGAGAGAUGGUGGUUUACCCUGU